UACGUAGGGGGCGAGCGUUGUCCGGAUUUAUUGGGCGUAAAGGGCGCGUAGGCGGUGUUUUAAGUUUGAAGUGACAGUGGGUGGCUUAACUACCCAAGGCCUUUGAAAACUGGAGCACUUGAGGACCAGAGAGGGACAUAGAAUUCCGGGUGGAGUGGUGAAAUGCGUAGAUAUCCGGAGGAAUACCAAAGGCGAAGGCAGUGUCCUGGAGGGUUACUGACGCUGAGGCGCGAAAGCUAGGGGAG
rnacentral:rRNA from 1 species